AAGCUAUAUGUUUUUUUUACAGCACGGAGAAGCUAUCUGUUAAUAGACUGGCUCGACUACAUAUUGGGAUGUAUGAGACAGUUCUUUGAUUAUGUCUUUCUUCUAUCUCUAUCCUUUUUUUUUUGGUUCCAACCAUUUUGUAUCACAUUUUCCGUCCUUUCCUCAUGUUCGGUCUCUCUCCCUUUGAGCGGAGAAGAGUAAGGGUGUGUCUCCAUGGCGCGUUCUUUUAUAGUACACUGUACAUUAUUUUACUAAUGUAUGGUUGCUUAUGCCAACUACAUGAGCGAGACUUCUCUAGGUUUUUUGCGACUGAGCAAAGCACGUGCAAGGGAGAGAGAGAGAGAGAGAGAGAGCAUGUUUGACCGUAUUGUUUAUCUCAAUUCACAGUUU
rnacentral:lncRNA from 1 species